GAUGUGGUUAGUGAUGCAUACGCUUUUUUCCCCGUCUUAUCGACCAUGGUGAAAAGCUGCUGAUAAGCCAGUUAUGUCUGAAACCACAUC
rfam:Oryzias latipes DNA, chromosome20, strain: Hd-rR.